rnacentral:rRNA from 1 species
CGAGCGAACAGAUGAGAAGCUUGCUUCUCUGAUGUUAGCGGCGGACGGGUGAGUAACACGUGGGUAACCUACCUAUAAGACUGGGAUAACUCCGGGAAACCGGGGCUAAUACCGGAUAAUAUAUUGAACCGCAGGGUUCAAUGUUGAAAGACGGUUUCGGCUGUCACUUAUAGAUGGACCCGCGCCGUAUUAGCUAGUUGGUAAGGUAACGGCUUACCAAGGCAACGAUACGUAGCCGACCUGAGAGGGUGAUCGGCCACACUGGAACUGAGACACGGUCCAGACUCCUACGGGAGGCAGCAGUAGGGAAUCUUCCGCAAUGGGCGAAAGCCUGACGGAGCAACGCCGCGUGAGUGAUGAAGGUCUUAGGAUCGUAAAACUCUGUUGUUAGGGAAGAACAAAUUUGUUAGUAACUGAACAAGUCUUGACGGUACCUAACCAGAAAGCCACGGCUAACUACGUGCCAGCAGCCGCGGUAAUACGUAGGUGGCAAGCGUUAUCCGGAAUUAUUGGGCGUAAAGCGCGCGUAGGCGGUUUCUUAAGUCUGAUGUGAAAGCCCACGGCUCAACCGUGGAGGGUCAUUGGAAACUGGGGAACUUGAGUGCAGAAGAGGAGAGUGGAAUUCCAUGUGUAGCGGUGAAAUGCGCAGAGAUAUGGAGGAACACCAGUGGCGAAGGCGGCUCUCUGGUCUGUAACUGACGCUGAUGUGCGAAAGCGUGGGGAUCAAACAGGAUUAGAUACCCUGGUAGUCCACGCCGUAAACGAUGAGUGCUAAGUGUUAGGGGGGUUUCCGCCCCUUAGUGCUGCAGCUAACGCAUUAAGCACUCCGCCUGGGGGAGUACGACCGCAAGGUUGAAACUCAAAGGAAUUGACG